UCCGCAGUAGCUCAGUGGUAGAGCUAUCGGCUGUUAACCGAUCGGUCGUAGGUUCGAGUCCUACCUGAGGAGCCA
rnacentral:tRNA from 1 species